rnacentral:rRNA from 1 species
AGAUUGAACGCUGGCGGCGCGCCUAACACAUGCAAGUCGAGCGGUAACAGGUGUAGCAAUACAUGCUGACGAGCGGCGGACGGGUGAGUAACGCUUGGGAAUCUGCCUAUCAGUGGGGGACAACCCGGGGAAACUCGGGCUAAUACCGCAUACGAUCCAUGGAUGAAAGCCGGGGACCGCAAGGCCUGGCGCUGAUAGAUGAGCCCAAGUCGGAUUAGCUAGUUGGUAGGGUAACGGCCUACCAAGGCGACGAUCCGUAACUGGUCUGAGAGGACGACCAGUCACACCGGGACUGAGACACGGCCCAGACUCCUACGGGAGGCAGCAGUGGGGAAUAUUGGACAAUGGCGGAAGCCUGAUCCAGCAACGCCGCGUGAGGGAUGACGGCCUCGGUUGUAACCUCUUCAGUACCGACGAAGCGCAAGUGAC